GUUUCAGUGUUUAAAAGACCAUAUUGUGAUGACUUCAUCAGUUUCAUCAUGGACAAUUCGCUGUAGGAGUUUGGUAUUCUAGAAAAUCACACAAUUUGAAACCAAUUGUCCAGAGUCCUUUCCCAGAUGAAAAGCAAUUGCUUUUUUGUUGGGAUCAAGAAUCUUGUACUAGAACCAGAUUUAAUGCACUUGAGAAUCACAAGAAACCACUCUUUAUUAAAGAGUUAUCCAAAGUGUGGGCAUUCCCUGAAGCGGGAAAGUACAAUGAAAGCAACACUUUGCUUAUGGAUGAUUCUCCGUACAAGGCAGUGAAAAAUCCUGCAAAUACAACAAUAUUUCCUCCCACAUAAACGUACACCGAUGCUAAUGAUUCAACUUUAGGUAAGCUAUGCUCUAAACUAAAUUGACAUGUUGUGAAGACCUAUGGUUUCCAUAUUUAUUUAUUAUUGCACUCGUCUAUAUUUAUUUAUUAUUGCACUUAUCUAAUCUCAAAUACGGUUAAAUAACAGGCCCUACUGGCAAUUUGAGAAAAUAUUUGAAUUCUUUGGCCAAAGCUGAAAAUAUGCAAGACUACGUGAGAAAUAACCCGUUUGGUAAAGAAAUGAACUCGGACAAAAAUUGGGAGUUCUUGAGAAACAAUUUAUAAGGAAGAGGAGGAUCUUGAGCGUAAGGAGGAGGAUGGCGUGACGUUAUUUCAGGUAUGUAGUUGAAAAGAUGGAUGGUGAUCCAUGGGCAAAAGUUCUUGACCCCGAAAAUGAAUUCGGAAGACAGCUCAUUGAUCAUGUUGUAGCUGGUGCUUUGCCUGAAAGCAAGAGCCUGGAACAAGUAUUUGCAGAUGUUAAAACCUUCAUGUCUGCUGACCUCCCUCAUAAACUAAUUGAAUUGCUCAAAAAGAUUGUGAUCCAAAACUCUUCAUUCAGUGGAAACUUUGACCCGCAAAACUUACUUAUCUCGAUAGCCAUUAACGCAGAUCCAUCCAGAGUUAUGGAUUAAAUAGGCAGACUUGAUAAGUUUGAUGUCUUUCUGUUGGGGAAGUGGCUGUGGAAGCUCAAUUGUAUGAAGAGGCUUUUGCUAUUUUAAAGCUCAAUUUGAAUAUCCAGGCCGUCAAUAUGUUACUAGAUAAUAUUCAAGAUAUUAACCUGUGUUUGCAUUCUGUGUUGAAGAAGAUGCAGUUUGGAGUCAGCUUGCUAAAGCUCAACACGGGGAAGGAUUAGUGAGCUAUGCGAUAGAGAGUCAUUUACUCGUGCUAAUGAUGCCACCCAAUUCUUGGAAGUUAUUCGUGUUCCGGAGGACGCAAAUGUUUAUCACGACUUGGUGAAGUUUCUUCUGAUGGUCAAGUACAAAGCAAAGGAGCCCAAGGUGGACAGUGAGCUCGUUUAUGCAUAUGCUAAGAUCGAUAGGCUGGGUGAGAUUGAAGAGUUUAUUCUCAUGCCAAGUGUUGCCAAUCUCCUUAAUGUUGGUGAUCACUUGUACGAUGAAGCUCUAUAUGAGGCAGCUAAGAUUGUUUUUUGCUCUUAUCUCUAAUAACUCAAAAGACAUGGAAAGAAGUCUAUUUUUCCACUUGGCUCAAUUAUGUGGCUCAAUAUCAUUGUACAGUUGUAUUCCCAGACUGUAUUAGUUGAUAUUUUAUGACUUUUUCAUACAAAAUCAAUAACUUAAUCAAUUUGUUUCUUAGCUUUAGCUGCAAAGGGAGUGGAUUGCUAGUCUAUAUUUGCUUAUUUUUGCAUGACCAUUCUA